GACACAAUAAUAAAAGAAAAGUGACUCUAAAUAUUAUGACACGCUAGCUAAAUGCAUCACGUCCCCCCUAGAGGAUAACAGACCUACCACUUCUACCAGAUAACAGAAUGACUCUCAACUCAAGUGGCAAAGGAUGCAGGUGAGGGGCAGUAACGCACAGCUGGUUCAAACUGCAGUGUCCCCACACUGGCCGAGACACACACCUUCUCUUUGGUAUGAACAACGGGCACUUUUCAUUCUGCUCACUGGAUCCCCGACUACAAUCCGGAUCCCUGUUUCCUCAAUAGCGACCACUUUGGAAUCCAGCCUCGCAGCUAUUCUAGGCAACUUUCCACACAGUCAGCGAUGACCAGUGAUAACCCACGCGUGUCAUUGCCCCACCCAUGAUGGGAUGUUCGAAAAGCAAACCAGCCAGGAUGCACCGCGACAAUCGAGGCCACUGUCAACGCGAUGUCACCGAAGCCGGAAAAUGUCAGUCGUUUCACCCAGCUCAUCCGAGUUACAAGAAAAACCAUCUCCUGCAGCUAUGGAAGAGGAGACACCCCAUGCUCAAAGGCAGAAACAGGAAGGCUAUUAAAGGAGUAACAAAUGCAGGUGCCUCUGGGGUUGACACCACUGUCCACCGCAUAAUGGUAGUAGAACAUC